ensembl:lncRNA
GCUGCUAAGUCGCUUCAGUGGUGUCUGACUCUGUUCGACCCCAUAGACGGCAGCCCACCAGGCUCCCCCAUCCCUGGGAUUCUCCAGGCAAGAACACUGGAAUGUGCUGAACGCAGGCAACUCUGACCUGACCUCAACUGUGACUGCCCUUGUGGGAGCUACCGAGAGGCACCGUGAUCCCUCCCAGGUCUGACCAAGGGACAGGACAAAGGGGAGCCUCUGGGCCAUCAGCCAUAGAAGGUUCUGCUCCUCCGUGUUAAUUCAAGAGCAUCCACAGCUCCUGCUGAGCGGCUGAAGAGCUCUCUGGAGCCUCUUUUCGAGUGAAAACAGUCAUUUGCAAGAGCUCACGAUGCAAGGAGCAGACGGAAUGGCACAGUUGCACCACAGCCAGCCUUUCUCACAGCCCAGAGCCUGUGGAGCCACUUGGAGGAACAGCAGCUGCCGCGGGCUGGUGGGAGGGUCUGGGGACACGGAGGAGGGCCCAUCUCCACGGCUCCCCAGAACAAGCCAGGGCUUUCACAGCAAAGGGGCAGCAAGCAUGUCAUGCCUGGUGCGUUUGUUUCCUACGGCGGCUAUAACAAAUUGCCAAAACUGGAGUGGGAGAUGCUUAAACAAUAGGAAUUUAGGCUCUCGGAGUUCUGGAGACCAGACGUUCCAAAUCAAGGAGUCAGCAGGAGGCAGGAUUAGUUCCUUGUGGAGGUUCUGAGGAAGAAUCCGUUCCAUGCCUCUGUCCUAGCUCCUGGUGGUUGCUGGCCCUCUCUGGCAUUCUUUAUAUGAUAGAGGCAAUACUCCAAUCUCUGUUGCCAUCUUCAAAUGCAUUCAUUCUCUCUGUGUUUGUCUGUUUUUUCU